UACGGAGGAUGCAAGCGUUAUCCGGAAUGAUUGGGCGUAAAGCGUCCGCAGGUGGCAAUGUAAGUCUGCUGUCAAAGCGUCUGGCUCAACCAGAUAAAGGCAGUGGAAACUACAUAGCUAGAGUAAGGUAGGGGUAGAGGGAAUUCCUGGUGUAGCGGUGAAAUGCGUAGAGAUCAGGAAGAACACCGGUGGCGAAAGCGCUCUGCUAGGCCGCAACUGACACUGAGGGACGAAAGCUAGGGGAGCGAAUGGG
rnacentral:rRNA from 1 species